CCGAGUUAGGGUCUUCUCAGGCCCGACCUCCCAACCCUGUGUUUACUGAACCUAUGUUGCUUCGGCGGGCCCGUCUCACGACCGCCGGAGGACCGUAAGACGUCCUCUGGCCCGCGCCCGUCGGUGGCCAAACUUGAUAAAACUCCGAUUGAAUCGUGUCACUGUCUGAGUACCAUUCUUAAUUAAAAUA
rnacentral:misc_RNA from 1 species